rnacentral:ncRNA from 1 species
GGAAAGUUUUAUUCUUGCUUGAGAAUUUAUUAAAACAUUACUGUAUAUGUAAGUUUUUGCGUGAUUAUAUUAUUUAUUCUUAAUGGGUGGAUAAUGUGUUUAAUAAUUACAGUAUAAAAUAUUAUAAAUUUAAGUAAUUUUGAUUUAGUAAUUGUUAAUAAAUAUUGAUUGAUCAUGUGCCAGCAUUCGCGGUUAUACGUGAAAUAUAAGUAAAUAUUAUCAGUUAAAAUAGUUGAUUUGUUUUAUUUAAAUUUGAAUUGAUUAUUAUGUGGUGAAAUUUAUAAUUUUUGUUUGUGAAUUUAUUGGUUAUUUAAUGAAGCUGUGAAAUCUAAAGUAUUUAAACUAGGAUUAGAUACCCUAUUAUUUUAGAUGUAAAUUUAUUUAACUUGAGUAGUAGUAGUUAAGGUCUUGAAACUUAAAGAAUUUGGCGGUAUUUUAGUCUAUUUAGAGGAAUCUGUCCCAUAAUCGAUAAUCCACGUUGGACCUUACUUAAUUUAUUUAGUAUGUAUACCGCCGUUUUUGAAAAUCUUUUAAGGGUGUUAUUUUUAAAAUAUUUUUGGAUAAUUUUUCAGGUCAAGGUGCAGUUUAUAAUUAAGUGGAGAUGGAUUACAAUAUUUAAUUAAUAUACGAAUUAUUACUUGAAAUAAGUGGUAUGAAGGUGGAUUUAACAGUAAUAUUAUAAAGAUUAUUAAUUUGAUUAAGCUCUAAAAUAUGUACACAUCGCCCGUCGCUCUCGUUAUUUUUUAGGUGAGAUAAGUCGUAACAAAGUAGUUGUACCGGAAGGUGUAACUAGAAUGAG